UAACAAAAUUAAAUCAGACAGACUGAGUGUUGCAGCGGACUGUUCUCUGGUUGUAAAGAAGGUCACAUCUGUGGACGGUGGUCCUUACCAUUGUCAGCAGCACAGAUCGGGACCAGACACACAGGUUGUUCUGUCUACUUUGAACAGUGACGACACAACAACAGCAAAAACAGAAGUAACAAUAAGAACAACUGUAAACAAACCAGGGACGAACUCAGCAACACCAGUUUGGUGGUACAUCAUUGCAGCUGUGGGUUUAGUUGCACUCUUAAUAAU